GUGCCAGCAGCCGCGGUAAUACAGAGGUGGCAAGCGUUGUUCGGAAUUACUGGGCGUAAAGGGCGAGUAGGCGGCCAUCUAAGUCAGACGUGAAAUCCCCCGGCUUAACCUGGGAACUGCGUCUGAUACUGGACGGCUUGAGUUUGGGAGAGGGAUGCAGAAUUCCAGGUGUAGCGGUGAAAUGCGUAGAUAUCUGGAGGAAUACCGGUGGCGAAGGCGGCAUCCUGGACCAACACUGACGCUGAUCCGCGAAAGCUAGGGGAGCAAACGGGAUUAGAUACCCCUGUAGUCC
rnacentral:rRNA from 1 species